UACGUAGGGACCAAGCGUUGUUCGGAUUUACUGGGCGUAAAGGGCGCGUAGGCGGCCUAUUAAGUCAGCUGUGAAAUCUCCGAGCUUAACUCGGAACUGUCAGCUGAUACUGAUGUGCUAGAGUGCAGAAAGGGCAAUCGGAAUUCUUGGUGUAGCGGUGAAAUGCGUAGAUAUCAAGAGGAACACCUGAGGCGAAGGCGGGUUGCUAGGCUGACACUGACGCUGAGUGCGCGAAAGCCAGGGGAGCAAACGGG
rnacentral:rRNA from 1 species